AUUGAACGCUGGCGGCAGGCUUAACACAUGCAAGUCGAGCGGGGGAAGGUAGCUUGCUACCGGACCUAGCGGCGGACGGGUGAGUAAUGCUUAGGAAUCUGCCUAUUAGUGGGGGACAACAUCUCGAAAGGGAUGCUAAUACCGCAUACGUCCUACGGGAGAAAGCAGGGGAUCUUCGUACCUUGCGCUAAUAGAUGAGCCUAAGUCGGAUUAGCUAGUUGGUGGGGUAAAGGCCUACCAAGGCGACGAUCUGUAGCGGGUCUGAGAGGAUGAUCCGCCACACUGGGACUGAGACACGGCCCAGACUCCUACGGGAGGCAGCAGUGGGGAAUAUUGGACAAUGGGGGGAACCCUGAUCCAGCCAUGCCGCGUGUGUGAAGAAGGCCUUACGGUUGUAAAGCACUUUAAGCGAGGAGGAGGCUACUCUAGUUAAUACCUAGGGAUAGUGGACGUUACUCGCAGAAUAAGCACCGGCUAACUCUGUGCCAGCCGCCGCCGUAAUAC
rnacentral:rRNA from 1 species